CCUACGGGAGGCAGCAGUGAGGAAUUUUCCGCAAUGGGCGAAAGCCUGACGGAGCAAUGCCGCGUGGAGGAGGAAGGCCCGAGGGUUGUAAACUCCUUUUCUCAGAAAAGCGGUAUCUGAGGAAUAAGCAUCGGCUAACUCCGUGCCAGCAGCCGCGGUAAGACGGAGGAUGCAAGCGUUAUCCGGAAUGAUUGGGCGUAAAGCGUCUGUAGGUGGUUUAUUAAGUCUGCUGUUAAAGCACAGGGCUCAACCCUGUAUAGGCGGUAGAAACUGGUAGGCUUGAGUAUGGUAGGGGUAGAGGGAAUUCCCGAUGUAGUGGUGAAAUGCGUUGAUAUCGGGAAGAACACCAAAGGCGAAAGCACUCUGCUGGGCAAACUGACACUGAGAGACGAAAGCUAGGGGAGCAAAUGGGAUUAGAUACCCUUGUAGUC
rnacentral:rRNA from 1 species